rnacentral:rRNA from 1 species
GGAGUUAGCCGGUGCUUCUUCUGUGAGUGAUGUCCUUCCUGCCGGCUAUUAACCCGCAGGCCUUCUUCCUCACUGAAAGUGCUUUACAACCCGAAGGCCUUCUUCACACACGCGGCAUGGCUGGAUCAGGGUUGCCCACAUUGUCCAAUAUUCCCCACUGCUGCCUCCCGUAGGAGUCUGGGCCGUGUCUCAGUCCCAGUGUGGCUGAUCAUCCUCUCAGACCAGCUACGGAUCGUCGCCUUGGUGAGCCGUUACCUCACCAACCAGCUAAUCCGACAUAGGCUCAUCCGAUAGCGCGAGGCCCGAAGGUCCCCCGCUUUCCCCCGUAGGGCGUAUGCGGUAUUAGCCUGGGUUUCCCCAGGUUAUCCCCCACUACCGGGCAGAUUCCUAUGCAUUACUCACCCGUCCGCCGCUCGCCACCAGGGAGCAAGCUCCCCGUGCUGCCGCUCGACUUGCAUGUGUUAGGCCUGCCGCCAGCGUUCAAUCUGAGCCAGAAUCAAACUCUGA